GAUGAAGAACGUAGCGAAAUGCGAUAAGUAGUGUGAAUUGCAGAAUUCAGUGAAUCAUCGAAUCUUUGAACGCACAUUGCGCCCCUUGGUAUCCCGAGGGGCAUGCCUGUUCGCGCGUCAUUUCACCACUCAAGCCUGGCUUGGUGUUGGGCGACGUCCCCUUUGGGGACGCGCCUCGAAACGCUCGGCGGCGUGGCACCGGCUUUAAGCGUAGCAGAAUCUUUCGCUUUGGAAGUCGGGGCCCCGUCUGCCGGAAGACCUACUCGCAAGGUUGACCUCGGAUCAGGCAGGGAUACCCGCUGAACUUAAGCAUAUCAAUAAGCGGAGGA
rnacentral:misc_RNA from 1 species